AGUGAACGCUGGCGGUAGGCCUAACACAUGCAAGUCGAACGGCAGCACAGUAAGAGCUUGCUCUUACGGGUGGCGAGUGGCGGACGGGUGAGGAAUACAUCGGAAUCUACUUUUUCGUGGGGGAUAACGUAGGGAAAGUUACGCUAAUACCGCAUACGCCGUACGGGGGAAAGCAGGGGAUCUUCGCACCUUGCGCGAUUGAAUGAGCCGAUGUCGGAUUAGCUAGUUGGCGGGGUAAAUGCCCAGCAAGGCGACGAUCCGUAGCUGGUCUGAGAGGAUGAUCGGCCACACUGGAACUGAGACACGGUCCAGACUCCUACGGGAGGCAGCAGUGGGGAAUAUUGGACAAUGGGCGCAAGCCUGAUCCAGCCAUACCGCGUGGGUGAAGAAGGCCUUCGGGUUGUAAAGCCCUUUUGUUGGGAAAGAAAAGCAGCAGGUUAAUACCCCGCUGUUCUGACGGUACCCAAAGAAUAAGCACCGGCUAACUUCGUG
rnacentral:rRNA from 1 species